rnacentral:rRNA from 1 species
AAUCAACGCUGGCGGCGUGCCUCAGACAUGCAAGUCGAACGCGAAAGUCCCCUUCGGGGAUGAUUAGAGUGGCGUCCGGGUGAGUAACACGUGGGUAAUCUACCUUCGGGUGGGGAAUAACAGUCGGAAACGACUGCUAAUACCGCAUAAUGCAGCGGCACCUAAUGGUGACAGUUGUUAAAGCGGGGUUAGUCGCAAGACCCUCGCGCCUGAAGAGGGAGCCCCGCGGCGGGAUAGCUAGUUGGCAGGGUAAACGGCCUACCAAGGCGACGAUCCGUAGCCGGCCUGAGAGGGCGGUCGGCCACACUGGCACU